CGGGCGGGUAGCUACACAUGCAGUCGAACGGCAGCACAGGAGAGCUUGCUCUCUGGGUGGCGAGUGGCGGACGGGUGAGGAAUACAUCGGAAUCUACCUUGUCGUGGGGGAUAACGUAGGGAAACUUACGCUAAUACCGCAUACGACCUUCGGGUGAAAGUGGGGGACCUUCGGGCCUCACGCGAUUAGAUGAGCCGAUGUCGGAUUAGCUAGUUGGAGGGGUAAUGGCCCACCAAGGCGACGAUCCGUAGCUGGUCUGAGAGGAUGAUCAGCCACACUGGAACUGAGACACGGUCCAGACUCCUACGGGAGGCAGCAGUGGGGAAUAUUGGACAAUGGGCGCAAGCCUGAUCCAGACAUACCGCGUGGGUGAAGAAGGCCUUCGGGUUGUAAAGCCCUUUUGUUGGGAAAGAAAUC
rnacentral:rRNA from 1 species